rnacentral:rRNA from 1 species
GGUAUGGGAUGAGCUUGCGUCCGAUUAGCUAGUUGGCGGGGCAACGGCCCACCAAGGCGACGAUCGGUAGCCGGCCUGAGAGGGUGAUCGGCCACAUUGGGACUGAGAUACGGCCCAGACUCCUACGGGAGGCAGCAGUAGGGAAUAUUGCACAAUGGGGGAAACCCUGAUGCAGCAACGCCACGUGUGGGAAGAAGCAUUUCGGUGUGUAAACCACUGUCGUGAGGGAAUAAGGCUGUUUUUCAGAACAGUUGAAUGUACCUCGAGAGGAAGCACCGGCAAACUUCGUGCCAGCAGCCGCGGUAAUACGAGGGGUGCAAGCGUUGUUCGGAAUCACUGGGCGUAAAGGGAGCGCAGGCGGAAGCUCAAGCGGAUUGUACAAUACCGGGGCCCAACCCCGGACCUGCAGUCCGAACUGGGUUUCUUGGAUAGUUCAGGGGCAGGC